ACGGACGCUUGUCUCCGAGACUAAGCCAUGCAUGCGGGUGAACGCGAGGGAACGGCGAACGGCUCAGUAAUACCGCGACGAUCUGCCCCCCGCGGCGAAUAACCACGGGAAACUGUGGCUAAGAGCGGGGGUUGAGACGCGGCCCUAUCAGCUGGUUGGUAGUGUAACGGACUACCAAGGCGUCGACGGGUGACGGGGGAUCGGGGUCCGACACCGGAGAGGGAGCCUGAGAGAUGGCUCCCACGUCCAAGGACGGCAGCAGGCGCGGAAAUUGCCCACUCCCUGGCGGGGAGGCAGUCAGGAGACGUAGCGAGAGGAGCGCAAAGCAAAGGCUUGCGCAGACGCGACCGGAG
rnacentral:rRNA from 1 species